rnacentral:rRNA from 1 species
AACGAACGCUGGCGGCAUGCCUAACACAUGCAAGUCGAACGAGUGCCUUCGGGUGCUAGUGGCGCACGGGUGCGUAACGCGUGGGAAUCUGCCCUUUGGUUCGGAAUAACAGUUGGAAACGACUGCUAAUACCGGAUGAUGACGAAAGUCCAAAGAUUUAUCGCCAGAGGAUGAGCCCGCGUAGGAUUAGCUAGUUGGUGUGGUAAAGGCGCACCAAGGCGACGAUCCUUAGCUGGUCUGAGAGGAUGAUCAGCCACACUGGGACUGAGACACGGCCCAGACUCCUACGGGAGGCAGCAGUGGGGAAUAUUGGACAAUGGGCGAAAGCCUGAUCCAGCAAUGCCGCGUGAGUGAUGAAGGCCUUAGGGUUGUAAAGCUCUUUUACCCGGGAUGAUAAUGACAGUACCGGGAGAAUAAGCUCCGGCUAACUCCGUGCCAGCCGCCGCCGUAAAAC